CAAAAGAGAAACCCGGUUUCAACAGCAGAAGGUAAAAGUCCAUCGGAUCACCUGUCCAUAAUGAAGUGCAAGCUGGAGGAUGGUGUCUUUAGAAUGAUCCUUGCAUUCGACCUAACACCUUUCAAGUCAGUAAGUAAGACGUCUCAAAGCAUUUUACAGGACUUACUGUAACGUUUCACGGCUGCGGAGUUUGGAAGUGAACACAGCAGCCAAUUUGCACGCAGAAAGUCCCACAAACAACCAUGAAGUGACUGACCAAUUUUACCUGGGGGAAGAGAAACGUUGGCAGGGAUACUGGGAGCAGUUCUUUUCUCUUGUUGAAUAGUGUCACGGGAUUUUUAACACCCUCUGGAAUAGUGUGCGACUUAAACGGCUUUCUGUCAUUCAGCAACAAGGCACACGGCAAAAUGUAAGAACCUAAGUCACGGAUUUUAUUGCGAGAUUUUGCUGCGAGACGUCUCAGAACAAACGAGAAGAGAUUCGUCAACCCUAACAGAGAACGUCUUGAAAUCAGAGAUUAAAAAAAGGGAUGGAACCAGCACCUUUAAUAAACACGCCAGGCUCAAUUUCUCCGCUGUCAUUAUGUCAGGGUUUCUGCCGCACAGCUGGGAAUAUGCAGAUAGACCUCAGGAUUGUUAUGCACUCGGAAAAGUUGUUCGGAGCACCGACAGGAAAAUGCAACCAAGUUGAUCAAAUUGCCGAAGUAUUGAAUGGAGGGCAGUAAUCGGUCUGUGAAAUCCUUGCUUUCUUUUCGGGCUCUCCCCUUGCUGCCUGGCACACAACACGUCGACUUCAAGAUCCUCACACCCGCCUUCAAAUAUGCUGCCGCGCCCGCCUCCGAACAAAUACACAGUCACUACACUCCUGCGGUAAAAUC